CGGUGUUUAACUGGCGUGAUGUGGGACGUCCUACCGGUGGGCUUAGCCUCGCGAGGGGCGGCCCAACUAAUAUCCCGUCGCGGUGCUCUUUACUGAGUGUCGAGUCGGGCCGGUACGUUUACUUUGAACAAAUUAGAGUGCUUAAAGCAGGCUAUCCUCGCCUGAAUACUGCGUGCAUGGAAUAAUGGAAUAGGACCUCGGUUCUAUUUUGUUGGUUUUCGGAACCCCGAGGUAAUGAUUAAUAGGGACAGAUGGGGGCAUUCGUAUUGCGACGUUAGAGGUGAAAUUCUUGGAUCGUCGCAAGACGGACAGAAGCGAAAGCAUUUGCCAAAAAUGUUUUCAUUAAUCAAGAACGAAAGUUAGAGGUUCGAAGGCGAUCAGAUACCGCCCUAGUUCUAACCAUAAACGAUGCCAGCUAGCGAUCCGCCGAAGUUCCUCCGAUGACUCGGCGGGCAGCUUCCGGGAAACCAAAGCUUUUGGGUUCCGGGGGAAGUAUGGUUGCAAAGCUGAAACUUAAAGGAAUUGACGGAAGGGCACCACCAGGAGUGGGAGCCUGCGGCUUAAUUUGACUCAACACGGGAAACCUCACCAGGCCCAGACACCGGAAGGAUUGACAGAUUGAUAGCUCUUUCUUGAUUCGGUGGGUGGUGGUGCAUGGCCGUUCUUAGUUGGUGGAGCGAUUUGUCUGGUUAAUUCCGAUAACGAACGAGACUCUAGCCUGCUAAAUAGGCGUACCUUAUGGUAUCGCGAAGGCCCCCGGCUUCGGCCGGUGGGUUUUUACUACCAACGUACAAACAAAUCUUCUUAGAGGGACAGGCGG
rnacentral:rRNA from 1 species